CAUAAAAGUCCACUCAAAUACACUGAAGUUUGUGGUUGUAACAUGAUAACAUGUGGAAAGAGGUUCAAGAGGUGUAAGCUAGGCUCUGCAUGAAGGCUAUAGAAGAGUAGCGCUUUAUUGUUUCCCCUGUCAGGAUGCAUUAGUUACUGCAUAAAAGUGAGCUUCUUUGGAGAUAAGUAUCAUUGAAGGCUGUGCAAAUCAAGAGCCUCAUAAGAGGGAUAGGUGGAUGAGAUCCUGCAAUAUAACAAGGAGUUUCACUGUGUCGAGGAGCCGGCCUUACUCAGCUUCAUCUAGUGGAGAGUAGAAACGGAAGAUGGGGUCGGGGGGGCUGCUGCUUAUCUCCACCGUUCUUUGGCCUGUCCAUCAGAAGGACCCAGAGAGAACCCAUGCUUGGACAAGGAGAACAUGCAAACUCCAUGCAGGAAGGCC